GUGGGGAAUAUUGGGCAAUGGGGGAAACCCUGACCCAGCAACGCGGCGUGAAGGAAGAAGGUUUUCGGAUCGUAAACUUCUAUCCUUGGUGAAGAUAAUGACGGUAGCCAAGAAGGAAGCCCCGGCUAACUACGUGCCAGCAGCCGCGGUAAUACGUAGGGGGCAAGCGUUGUCCGGAAUGAUUGGGCGUAAAGGGCGCGUAGGCGGCCUGGUAAGUCUGGAGUGAAAGUCCUGCUUUUAAGGUGGGAAUUGCUGUGGAUACUGUCGGGCUUGAGUGCAGGAGAGGUAAGCGGAAUUCCCGGUGUAGCGGUGAAAUGCGUAGAGAUCGGGAGGAACACCAGUGGCGAAGGCGACUUACUGGACUGUAACUGACGCUGAGGCGCGAAAGUGUGGGGAGCAAACAGGAUUAGAUACCCUAGUAGUCC
rnacentral:rRNA from 1 species